GUACUUUUAGGAAAUCAAAUUCAGAAGGAAGCACAUACAAGGAAUAAUAAUAUCUAGCCUUGAGAGAUAAAGAAAGGAUAACAAGUUCCAAAUGUAUUCAUGAACAGCGUGUGCUUGAUAAGAAAGCAAAAGUAACCACGUCGUGCUGGUCUGCAAGUGGGAGCUGGAAGAAUGUUAUAGCUCCUAACAUGGGAAACGUUGACUAGCUGAGUGAAAGAAAGGAUAUCAGUCAAUAAGUGCUCCACGUAUGCACAUGCCAGGAAUAAAGUCUGUGCAAUUUAAUCCCUGUUUCUGAUGGAAUGAGCUGGGCAAGGGCUGGUGAGUUGAGGGCUCCUACUUCUUUCUGGAGUAGGGAUGCAGCUCAAACAAGGUCUGGAGCCUGAUUUAGGAGGGAAGGCUGGAGUGCUCAACCUUGCCUUCCUCUGCAACAAGCCUGGUGGUGGUACCCAGAGGUCAAGCCUAGUAUAAAUCACCACUGCUGCCGGCCGCAUCUUGUGCCAAUGAGAACAUCCAAAUCAGGGAGGGUCUUGCUGUAGGGUCACCAGAGAGAGGAAAGGUUUAUACUGCCUCUAUCUUCUUUAUUCACUGCCCCCAGUAAGAGUCUCAUCCCGUUUGAGACAGGAGUGGGAGCAUCCAGUUCAACGGUUGCAUCCAGAUGGAUUUGGAGUGAUCAGAAUCUUUCUCCCCACUCAGGUCUUAAUUGCUCUAGUUAAUUAAGACUGCAACCUCAUAUGAGGACACUGAGGCAUAUACAAAGGUCAAGCAAUCUGCCCAGGUGUUUCAGGGCUGGAAGGCAUCAACUGAGGAUUUAAAAUCAGUAAAUCCGGCUCCAGAGUCUAUGAUCUGAACUCCUCUACAACUUGUAUUUUAAAAUGAAACUGGAAAAAUAAAUACGACUAUCAAAGAAUAACACUAAUGGAAGCAAACCAGCCCUAACCACUAUCUCAAGAUAGGACAGACAGCGUGCUACUAUAUGAGAAGAGAUCAAGGCAGUUGGUGGAACAAAACCAAUCACUAAGAAACAGAAUCCAUUGUGUACAUCAGUUUAAUUAAAGGUGUUUCUGAAAUCAGAGACAGACAUUUUAAUAAAUUUUGUUAGCACAACAUGCUAAAACUGCAAGGGGAAUGUAAAGAUUCACUUUCAAUUGUGGAUUUUUCUUUUCACCAUCCACAAACAGAAAUCCCAGCUGGA
rnacentral:lncRNA from 1 species